rnacentral:rRNA from 1 species
GACGAACGCUGGCGGCGUGCUUAACACAUGCAAGUCGAACGGAAAGGCCCUGCUUGCAGGGUACUCGAGUGGCGAACGGGUGAGUAACACGCGGGUGUUCUGCCCUGCACUUCGGGAUAAGCCUGGGAAACUGGGUGUAAUACCGGAUAGGAGCCAUCUUUCUGGAUAGGGUGGGAAGGUUUUUUUUGGCGGGGUGGGGUUGGCGCCCUGCCUGUUAGCUUGUGGGUGGGGGAAUGGCCUAGCCAGGCGUGGACGGGUAGCCGGGCUGAGAGGGUGGACGGGCACAUUGGGACUGGGAUACGGCCCAGACUCCUACGGGGGGCAGGAGGGGGGAAUAUUGCACCAUGGGCGGGAGCCUGAUGCAGCGACGGCGCGUGGGGGGUGACCGCCUUCGGGUUGUAAACUCCUUUCGCUAGGGACGAAGCUGUUUGUGACGGUACCUAGAUAAGAAGCACCGGCUAACUACGUG